rnacentral:rRNA from 1 species
GACGAACGCUGGCGGCGUGCUUAACACAUGCAAGUCGAACGGAAAGGCCCUGCUUUUGUGGGGUGCUCGAGUGGCGAACGGGUGAGUAACACGUGAGUAACCUGCCCUUGACUUUGGGAUAACUUCAGGAAACUGGGGCUAAUACCGGAUAGGAGCUCCUGCUGCAUGGUGGGGGUUGGAAAGUUUCGGCGGUUGGGGAUGGACUCGCGGCUUAUCAGCUUGUUGGUGGGGGAGUGGCUUACCAAGGCUUUGACGGGUAGCCGGCCUGAGAGGGUGACCGGCCACAUUGGGACUGAGAUACGGCCCAGACUCCUACGGGAGGCAGCAGUGGGGAAUAUUGCACAACGGGCGGAAGCCUGAUGCAGCAACGCCGCGUGCGGGAUGACGGCCUUCGGGUUGUAAACCGCUUUCGCCUGUGACGAAGCGUGAGUGACGGUAAUGGGUAAAGAAGCACCGGCUAACUACGUG